rnacentral:rRNA from 1 species
UGACCUCAAAUCAGGUAGGACUACCCGCUGAACUUAAGCAUAUCAAUAAGCGGAGGAAAAGAAACUAACAAGGAUUCCCCUAGUAACUGCGAGUGAAGCGGGAAAAGCUCAAAUUUAAAAUCUGGCGGUCUUCUGGCUGUCCGAGUUGUAAUCUAGAGAAGUGUUAUCCGCGCUGGACCGUGUACAAGUCUCCUGGAAUGGAGCAUCAUAGAGGGUGAGAAUCCCGUCUUUGACAUGGACUGCCAGGGCUUUGUGAUGCGCUCUCAAAGAGUCGAGUUGUUUGGGAAUGCAGCUCAAAAUGGGUGGUAAAUUCCAUCUAAAGCUAAAUAUUGGCGAGAGACCGAUAGCGAACAAGUACCGUGAGGGAAAGAUGAAAAGAACUUUGGAAAGAGAGUUAAACAGUACGUGAAAUUGCUGAAAGGGAAACGCUUGAAGUCAGUCGCGUCAUCCAGGGAUCAACCUUGCUUUUGCUUGGUGCACUUCCUGGUUUGAUGGGUCAGCAUCAAUUUUGACCGUUGGAAAAAGGCCGAGGGAAUGUGGCAUCCUUGGAUGUGUUAUAGCCCUCUGUCACAUACAAUGGUUGGGAUUGAGGAACUCAGCACGCCGCAAGGCCGGGUUUUAAACCACGUACGUGCUUAGGA